AACAUAAAAAAAAUUGAUAAACACUUUCCACAAAAUGUUAUCCUGCAUAACAACACACCCUAAAGCUACAAAAAUAAUAACAACAAUAAUAACCCUUUUGAUGGGGACAAUUAUGAUUGUCAGAAGAUGUUGAUUAUCCGGGCUCGCACAAGCUGUAUCUUUCUAAUAGGUUUGGUUUUUCUAUACAUCGUAAAACAAUCAGGUUUCUCAUCUUUAUUCUUCUUAUUCUUUCCGUUUCCUGAUCUCACAUUUAAAGUCCAUUGUAGCUGAUUAGCUAGUAUUACUGAUUGUUCUUUCUCAUAAUCUUAAGCGACAUGUUCAUCCCAUAUCUUUUUUCCUCUCAUUCUUACCAUCCUUUUGAUUAAUAAGUAACUAGUUUUGAGUAGAUCUAGCAAUAAAUGAUUUCGCUAGUGCAUUUGAGUAGAUCCAACCAUCUCUCUGUCUUUUCCUCAUUUGGAUUAAAGUUUAAAUCUAAGAGAAAGGAUGUUCAUCCAAAUUGGUAAAUGUGUGAGGCGUUUUGAAUUUUUAAUUGGGUUUGUUUUUGGGAAAAAUUCGAUCGGUUUCCCUCCGUUGGCAUAACACUAAUCCUUGGCCUAUAUAGUCUCUUUUUCUUCACACAACUAGGUAAGUUUUUUUUGGGGACGAGUGAAAAAAAAGGGAGAUCAAGUUCUUGUCCUUUUUAGCCUACGGUUGAAACUUUGGACUCUUAUUGAGUUUGGACUCUCGGGGAAAGGAAAUAUCCAUAAAGCUUAAGGAACAACAAUUAAGUUAUAUACUAAAUACGCUAAGAGAGGCAGAGGUGUUGGGAGUUUAAAUUUUUUCGAAUCAUUUCUUCGUUUUCACUGUUCGUCAACAUUUUCGGAGUCGCAUUUCGUUUCUGAGGGAGUUGCUGCCUCCUUGAUCUUGCUGCUGUCUUCGUUUGCUGCCCGGAGAAAGAAGUAAUUUUCUUCCUCAUAUUUCGAGUUGGGGCACGGAGGCCCAAAUUUCUUCCUUUCGAGUCAACUCAGGAUUUGAUGUACAAGCCGAGAAAAUUUGAGAUAUUAGACUAGAGAGUCCAAAUUUAUAUUUUUUAAUAUUGUAUUAUAUCAUUCUGGGGACUAAGUCCUUGUUGUUUUUUUUUAUCAUUAUUAUAUUUUGUUAGUUUAGUAGAGGUAAAAAUUGGGUCAAAAACACAAAAAAGAAAAAACAAGUCCAAAUACCGGUUCAAGCGAACCCAAAUCGGAUUUUGACCCAACA